CCACCGGUGUCACCCGGUGAAUCUAGGAUCCUGAAUCAAGAGCGGGUCUGACAACGUAACGAAGCGCCGCAAGGCGCGGGGUAUCAAUCGCGAGAGGCGUACCCUUCUGGCAGCCAUACGCCGGAUGAGUGC
rfam:Burkholderia glathei PML1(12) contig00088, whole genome shotgun sequence.